rnacentral:lncRNA from 1 species
UUUUUGGCCACUGGGUCAUCUGGCUGUGCAGUGAGCCGUAGCGCAGAUGAACAGUUCCCCAUGGGGCUCCACUGACCCACAGUGGGGCUGAGGUCAGGUGUGAUCUGCCCACGGAAAGGCCAGUGUCCACAGUCACAGAGACAGGAGAGGACGGCCGCGCCGACAAGAAAGAGAGCACAGGGGACCAGGGACACCACAAAGAACUGGGGCACAGGAUUGAAGGAAAGUUUUCCUUGCUGGGAUGAGGGAUCAGAAAAGGAUCCUGCUGCAUGAUGGAUCAGAAGAAGACCCUGAGGGCUUCACCUGUCUGCCUGUGGAGACUGCUUAGCUCCAGCAGGUCACCCUAGCGGGCCCACCCCCGCCCACCAUGACCCCCCGUGACAGCACCCUGUCCCCAGGAAGGUUGCCGCCCGCCACCCGGCUUCACCUGCACACAUCCAGUGUCUCCACUGCACGCCUCCCUGCAGCCUGCCCAGGCCUGGCAGCGCCCACGGCUCCAGCUUCAGCUCUACUGGGAGUCAGCUGGAAGCGGGGUUCUACUGGAGAGAAAGUGAUCUGCAACACACGGAGUCAAGCUUCUGAAAAGUCCACCUGCAGAGGCGAUUCGGGCCUGU